UACGGGGGGGGCAAGCGUUGCUCGGAAUCACUGGGCGUAAAGCGCACGUAGGCGGCUUUUUAAGUCGGGGGUGAAAUCCUGGAGCUCAACUCCAGAACUGCCUUCGAUACUGGCGAUCUAGAGUCCGGGAGAGGUGAGUGGAACUGCGAGUGUAGAGGUGAAAUUCGUAGAUAUUCGCAAGAACACCAGUGGCGAAGGCGGCUCACUGGCCCGGUACUGACGCUGAGGUGCGAAAGCGUGGGGAGCAAACAGG
rnacentral:rRNA from 1 species